UUCGUUUUCAAAGACUUCUUCGAAAAAUGUGAAACUCUGCUCUUAUCAGCGUAAUAUCUGAUACGUCCCCCAUAUGGGAACUUCAAUAUUACACUGAUUUAGAGAACAUGACAGAGGGUUAGGGACUUGUUCCACCUCUGCUAAGGGUAGACCUGGUGAUGUUGAAACUCCAGGGUUGGCCCACUCCCC